rnacentral:rRNA from 1 species
CUCCUACGGGGUGGCAGCAGUGGGGAAUAUUGCACAAUGGGCGCAAGCCUGAUGCAGCCAUGCCGCGUGUGUGAAGAAGGCCUUAGGGUUGUAAAGCACUUUCAAUGGGGAGGAAAGGUUGGAGGUUAAUACCCUUUGGCUGUGACGUUACCCACAGAAGAAGCACCGGCUAACUCCGUGCCAGCAGCCGCGGUAAUACGGAGGGUGCGAGCGUUAAUCGGAAUUACUGGGCGUAAAGCGUGCGUAGGCGGCCACCUAAGUUGGAUGUGAAAGCCCCGGGCUCAACCCGGGAACUGCAUCCAAAACUGGGUGGCUGGAGUACGGGAGAGGAGUGUGGAAUUUCCUGUGUAGCGGUGAAAUGCGUAGAUAUAGGAAGGAACACCAGUGGCGAAGGCGACACUCUGGCCUGAUACUGACGCUGAGGUACGAAAGCGUGGGGAGCAAACAGGAUUAGAUACCCUGGUAGUCCACGCCGUAAACGAUGUCUACUAGUUGUCGGUUGUCUUGUACGACGGGUA